UUGUCAAAGAACAGAUCCUUUAAGCCUGCAAAGAAACCUGAACUGCAACAAAUAAAGGUUUCCAGUCCAUUUGAACUGGUUGGAGUGGAUUUAAUAGGACCCUUUACAACCACUAGUCAAGGCUUCAAAUACAUUUUUACUGCCACCGACUACUAUACAAAAUGGGUUGAAGCAUUUCCCAUUGCCUCCAAAAAAGCAACAGAUGUAGCCAAGUGUUUUCAGAAGCUGUUUGCUAGGCAUGGUGCUGUAAAUGCGAUUCUUACAGAUCAGGGAAAAGAAUUUCUGAACAAUCUAAAUGAACAACUUUGUCAGGAGUGGAAUAUCAAGCAUAAAGUGACAGCAGCAUACCUGCAUCCACAAACAAAUGGUCUAGAUGAGAGGACCAACCAAACCUUGAAAGCG